rnacentral:lncRNA from 1 species
AACCAUACGUCAUGACAGUCUGAGGACAACAGCGCCAGACUAACAGUCUGAGGCCGGAAGUGGGCGGAGUUCAUAUAAACUAAUAAUGGCGGAAGAGACGGUAAGAAGUUAAUCACGGCGUAAUUACGAGAGCUCAGUCAAAAGUUAAUGAAAACGGCAUCAUCAUGGCGGAAGAAGAGAAAACGGUAAAAAAAAAUUGCCUUUUGUGUAUUUAAUCGAUUGUUUUUGGAUUAACGCUUAUACAAAAGGGCUCUAAGUAUUUUGCAAGUGGGCAUUGUGACGAAGACACUUAAGCACAUAAUUAUUUUGCAAUUGGAUUGUAUCACUUUGUUAGGUUACAUAUUCAUGAUUUGGGAUUUUCAUUUGUUAUUGACGUUGUAUUUUACUGCAUUUGUUCAAUUUUCUGACUGAGAAAUGCUUUAAAUGUAUUUGAUUUUGUCUAUAGAACCAUAUAACGAUUCAGAGAGGUUCAGCAGUACCACCUUUGGAGCAAUGCACAACAUGCUGCAGAAAUUUUCACUGCCCUUUUUGUGCUAGUAGUAUUUUAAAACUGACAAGACUGGACAAAUUGAAUAGUCACAUCAAAAUUCACUUCAAAAAGGCUGUUGUGCAUGGGGGUAUGAACGUAUUAUUAUAAUAUGUCUAAUAUUAUGUAAUAGUAGUCCCUGUGGAAUUAGCUGGUUUUCUGCAUGAUUUGGUCAAGUCUUUGUAUAAAAAGAUCUAUUAACUAUAUAAUAUAAUCUAUUAAAUUGUUGAUCUAUUAACACUUUUUUCCCCCCAUAUGCAAGUCUGAAGUCGAAAAUGGUGGUGCCUUAUUCUGAUGGAGAAUUUUGCCAUUGAAAGGAGCCAUUGAUAGUAAAAGACCUCUUGACCGCAGUUGGAUGGCUGUGGAAAAACUGCCAUGCCUUCAGAGGUUUUGUGGAAGAGCCGUGGUAUCUGAAAUUAAACCAGGAAGACCAGGAAAAGGCCCUUCAAUUUAAUCAGGCGGAAAUCAAUGAUGACCAACAACUGGCCAAAGAGCCUUUCAUGUUUUGUUUCCAAUUCAAGGAAGAUAUGGACGUUUUUCUUUGCGAGUGUCUGGACAAAAGGCACCUCAGGAUUAACUCCAUGUUUAUGGAGUUUUGAUUUAAUUUAGUAUUAAUGUUAUUUUUGAGAAUUAUUGUUAAAUGUGUGCCUGCAUAACUUCAAUUUAUUUAUUUACUUAAGUUUGAUUUUGUAUUUUUAAUUAAUUGUAUUUAUUUGGGGCAGGUACAACUAGUGUGUGAUGUUUUUUCUAUUUAAGAGGGGAAAACACAUUUUAUUUAAAUUAAUAUUUUUAUUUUUGUUCUAUGAAAAAACGUGGUUAGUUUUGAAAUGGAGUAUAAAAAAAU